AUAAGUGAAUCUGUGUCUGUGUAAAGACAUAGGAACUAUUGUUACUAAGUUCAAAAUCUUCAAUUGGAUCUGUACAAUAGAGCUCGUCUAGCUUGUCACAACAGCUUUGUAAGGAUUAAUGACUGGGCCUUGGGUAAACAUUGAUGAUCCGCCAUCAACCUGCACGAAAUGAUCUAACGUGACCCUGAAGUCGGCACGCGGGCUUCCUCUAUCCUCUUAAAUGAAAUUAGGCUGAAUCAGCAGCUCUGCUCUUCAACUUCUCCUGCAGUACUGUUCAGUCCGUGUGAAAAGGCAAACUGGAGCUUUUGAAAGAAAGGUUUUGGGGGUGGAAACAGCCGAAAGUGAUUCGUUUGUUGUCGCGAGGCCGCUGCAGGAUGUUGUUGGCAAGGCGGAGGCAGCGGGGUGCUGCGGCCCACGUGACCCACAGGACCGCAGCACAGCCACAGGCUCAAGGAAUCACACAAAAGUGAUCAAGUCAAAAGAAAGAAGCAAGACUGGAUCAUAAAGGUGAAAGAUCUCAGGUCUUUGGGUCAGAAGGGAUGCAAGAGUUCUUACUAGCAUGAAAUGGAGUUUGAUGAAUAAAUCCAGCGAUGAAAGGUGGUGAAUGGUGAUGAGGAGUAGCCUGAGACAAAUAAAGACCAGGAUAAUAGGUCUGUUUGGAUGCCCGACAACAACCUGGAGACGGUUGCCAGGGUGAAUGGAGGCUGUCGUUAAGGGGGAGCUUGAUUUGCCAGCUUGUUCAACUACCAGGCCAUGUGAACAACCCAUAUAUAGUUGAGAAAAAAAAGAUUUAUUCCUCGGAGAGAGAGCUAGCUGAGACCUAUUGCAGGUGUGUACAACGCCCUGCUGUGUUGGUGUUAUUCACUUAAUGAAUUCUGCACAACUUUCAUCUUCUAUGAGUGAUCUCGUGAGAAAUGAAAGAUGUUUGGGACAAUGCAUGAGGCAUAAAGGUGGGGGUCCUCCACUUCAAUAAUCCCUCUAUAAUGCAAUGCUUUGUUAGUAAAUCUGAUGACCGGUCUGUUCUAGUACUUUAAUGUAAACCACAGCAGUAUAGUUCAUGAUAAAUGGUUUACAAAUGACCGAAAAAUACAAUGCAAUGUGCAUCCCUGUAACCUCCAAUAGGAAAAACAAAAGAAAUGUUUCUGACUUAAAGGCUGUGCUAGCAGUGCACCCUCUGCAGGGCAGGUAGGGAACUACACUUGAAUGAAUCAACUUUUAAAUUUCUUGCCAUGACAUUAAUUUUUUAUUCCAAAACUAUAAUAACAAUAGUAGAAAGAAAAUUCUUAUAAUUUAAGUUAGUGUAAAAGGUAUAAACAGGAGAAAGGGAAAUCAUAAAUCAGUCAUUUAUUACAUUUGCUGAAAUUCUGGCCUUCAGCUUCUGAUCUGACCACAAAAAGCAGUAGAUCACCCUGCAGUUUAUUCGAGACAUUAAAUGUGGUACAUUUUUACUAUAUAAUGCCAUGUUUUGAUUGAAAUAUCAGUUAAUAAAUCCCAAAUCUCAAUGCUCAACUUUCUCUGGCCAUUUACCUUCAACAUACAAGUCUCAUUUAAAAAAAA